rnacentral:rRNA from 1 species
GAUGAACGCUGGCGGUAUGCUUAACACAUGCAAGUCGAACGGUACCUUCGGGUAUAGUGGCGGACGGGUGAGUAACGCGUGAGAAUCUAUCUUCAGGUCGGGGACAACAGUUAGAAAUGACUGCUAAUACCGGAUGUGCCGAAAGGUAAAAGAUUUAUUGCCUGAAAAAGAGCUCGCGUCAGAUUAGCUAGUAGGUGGUGUAAGAGACUACCUAGGCUUCGAUCUGUAGCUGGUCUGAGAGGACGAUCAGCCACACUGGAACUGAGACACGGUCCAGGCUCCUACGGGAGGCAGCAGUGGGGAAUUUUCCGCAAUGGGCGAAAGCCUGACGGAGCAAUACCGCGUGAGGGACGAAGGCUCUUGGGUCGUAAACCUCUUUUCUCAAGGAAGAUUCAGACGGUACUUGAGGAAUAAGCAUCGGCUAACUCUGUG